rnacentral:rRNA from 1 species
UACGGAGGGUGCGAGCGUUGUUCGGAAUCACUGGGCGUAAAGGGCGUGUAGGCGGUCCGCUAAGUCUGAUGUGAAAGCCCGGGGCUCACCCCCGGAAGGGCAUUGGAAACUGACGGACUCGAGUCCCGAAGAGGAGGGUGGAAUUCCUGGUGUAGCGGUGAAAUGCGUAGAUAUCAGGAGGAACACCGGUGGCGAAGGUGGCCCUCUGGACGGUGACUGACGCUGAGACGCGAAAGCGUGGGGAGCAAACAGG